rnacentral:rRNA from 1 species
UACAGAGGUCCCAAGCGUUGUUCGGAUUCACUGGGCGUAAAGGGUGCGUAGGCGGUCGGGUAAGUCUGAUGUGAAAUCUCACAGCUUAACUGUGAAACUGCAUUGGAUACUAUCCGGCUCGAGGAAUGGAGGGGAGACUGGAAUACUUGGUGUAGCAGUGAAAUGCGUAGAUAUCAAGUGGAACACCUGUGGCGAAAGCGGCUCACUGGACCACAACUGACGCUGAGGCGCGAAAGCUAGGGGAGCAAACAGG